AAGUCGUAACAAUUUCCGUAGGUGAACCUGCGGAAGGAUCAUUAACACGUAUCCACGUAUCAACCCCUGUGAACUUGUACGCGUCUGGUUUUCUGGGCGAUAACGGCUGUGGCCAACAACCCGCCGUUAUCGACCUCAAAAGGGUGGCCCAGAAAAUAUCCGACGUUUUAACAAACCUCAACCCAAUUUGUCUAAUUAGAAGUAACAUUAAGGCUUGUCCUUCUUGUUUCGCUUCGACAUACGAAAUCUAACAACUCUUAGCAACAGAUAUCUUGGUUCUC
rnacentral:misc_RNA from 1 species